AGAGGAUUAUUUGAAAAUUCCCAAAAUAGACUUCUGGUUAAACAUUGCAGUUUAAAAACCUGUGUUUUUCUUUCAUCUCUUUCAAAAUGCUACUAAAAUGACAGCAAAGAAGCCAAAAAGGCCCAAGUCCACAAGACAGAAAGAAUAGGUGAAAAGUCCAUGUCAUCUCAUUUUUGGAGAUGGACAUGGACAGGGGCUGAAACUGCAGUACCAGCAGAUGGGGAGCUUAAGAAGGAAGCUAGUUCAUGGCACAGCACCCGUAAAGUCCCCAGAAUUGGAGGCACCAGAUUCUUCUGAAAGAAAAGGAGCAAUUCAGCACUUGUCAUGCAGAUAAGAGGUCAACACCCCAGGACGGAGUGAAAACCUAAGGGUCAUCAAGACAGGAGGAUAUGAGGCAGAAUCACCACACAAGCUAACCUGAUGUACAUAUGACAUUAAUCCAAUAGACUUAGGAAUAAGAUACAGGGGGUUUUCCUGAAUGAUUCGAGUAUAUCCCCAUUCAUAUUAAGAAAACAAAGUAUUGGCCAAGCGUGGUGGCUCACGCCUGUAAUCCCGGCACUUUGGAAGGCCGAGGCCAGUGGAUCACCUGAGAUGGACUCAACGACUCUCUUACCGUCCAGCUCUCAAGUCCCUUCUCUUGUGAAAAUGGAAAAGUUGAACUACAGUUGAGAUAUUAUUCCCAGGUGUUCUUUGGAACACAGGGGAUUUCUCCAAAAGGCACAGAACAAAUUGCCUCCAAACAGCCAAGAUUCCAGCAGAAGCUGGAGUAGCAGACUACUUGGAUCUUCAAAGUACCUGGCCCUGAGUCAGUUAAGGAAGAUCUUUUCUUCUCUUUUGUACAAUCCUAUGAUGAGAGCUGCAAAGUGAACUGACUAAGAGCUUCUGCCUUGAUCAUUGACCUCCCAAUCCUAAUAAUAUGUUCACUGGCCAAACUUCCUAAUCGAUUUGUCUUUUGGAUAUAACGUUCCUCCUACUGUUUGCCUGAUUGAGAAAUCUGCUACAGAACAUGACCGGUUAGCAUUCCCACCAACCCCAGUGCUACACUGACUGUCUUUCGAUGGACUUUGCUCCUUGCUGCCUCUCUGAGGUCCCAGACCUUCAGAGUGACCUUCACAGCUCUGCCUAACUUUCUGUCAUACUUCUAUCAAGAGAGACAGCUAAAUCAAUAUUUUUAAUGUGCUUUGCUGUCGGAAUUCGAUGAUCUGUCACAGUUCUUGCCCAAUACACCCCAUCAUUAUUGUUAAAAUGUUUUUAGCUUUGUUUGUAGAAUUGCUUUAACUGGUUUCAUCUCUGGGAGCUACACUUUGAAAUAUAACUUUAGCAACAUUUUACUAUACUUUUUCACAACCCAGAGCAGUACUAUUUUAUGCUUAGUGGUUAAACUAAUUCCAUAAAUCUUUUGCAACUAUCCUCUAUUCUUUUUCUUGUAAUUUUUACCUGGGAAGGUUUUUACUGAUAAUCAUCCUAUCCUGAGUCAUCCCACAAACCAAUCUGUCUCACUAAUCAUUGCUUCUAACCUACAGACUAAGCAUAACUUCUGCUAAAUGAUCUUUGAUAAGAUGCUAUGACUCUAUAAAGUCUUUGAUAUUCAUGUCUAAAUUUAAUCACUUGUAGAUUUUCAUAGAAUCAAUCUUUCACUUCUACAAUUGGGAGUAUUUAUAAGUUGUUUAUCUUAAACAGUUCCUCUAUCACGCUUUUCACGUUAAAUAAAGCAAUCCCUUCAAAUCAAUUUUCUGUCAUGUCUAAGAUGU
rnacentral:lncRNA from 10 species